rnacentral:rRNA from 1 species
CUACGGGGGGCAGCAGUGGGGAAUAUUGGACAAUGGGGGAAACUCUGAUGCAGCAACGCCGCGUGGAGGAUGACACUUUUCGGAGCGUAAACUCCUUUUAUAUAGGAAGAAGAUGACGGUACUAUAUGAAUAAGCGCCGGCUAACUCCGUGCCAGCAGCCGCGGUAAUACGGAGGGCGCAAGCGUUACUCGGAAUCACUGGGCGUAAAGAGCGUGUAGGCGGAUUAAAAAGUCAGAAGUGAAAUCCUAUAGCUUAACUAUAGAACUGCUUCUGAAACUCUUAAUCUAGAAUAUGGGAGAGGUAGAUGGAAUUUCUGGUGUAGGGGUAAAAUCCGUAGAGAUCAGAAGGAAUACCGAUUGCGAAGGCGAUCUACUAGAACAUUAUUGACGCUGAGACGCGAAAGCGUGGGGAGCAAACAGGAUUAGAUACCCCUGUAGUC